GGAUUGGAUCAUACCAGCACUAAAGCACCGGAUCCCAUCAGAACUCCGAAGUUAAGCGUGCUUGGGCGAGAGUAGUACUAGGAUGGGUGACCUCCUGGGAAGUCCUCGUGUUGCAUUCC
rnacentral:rRNA from 1 species